GGUCCAGGUAGCUGCCUUCGCCAUGGAUGUUCCUCCUGAUCUCUACGCAUUUCACUGCUACACCAGGAAUUCCGCUACCCUCUACCACACUCUAGUCGCCCAGUAUCCACUGCAGUUCCCAGGUUGAGCCCAGGGCUUUCACAACGGACUUAAACGACCACCUACGCACGCUUUACGCCCAGUAAUUCCGAGUAACGCUUGCACCCUUCGUAUUACCGCGGCUGCUGGCACGAAGUUAGCCGGUGCUUAUUCUUUGGGUACCGUCAUCCCAACCGGGUAUUAGCCAGCUGGAUUUCUUUCCCAACAAAAGGGCUUUACAACCCGAAGGCCUUCUUCACCCACGCGGUAUGGCUGGAUCAGGCUUGCGCCCAUUGUCCAAUAUUCCCCACUGCUGCCUCCCGUAGGAGUCUGGACCGUGUCUCAGUUCCAGUGUGGCUGAUCAUCCUCUCAGACCAGCUACGGAUCGUCGCCUUGGUGGGCCUUUACCCCGCCAACUAGCUAAUCCGACAUCGGCUCAUUCAAUCGCGCAAGGUCCGAAGAUCCCCUGCUUUCACCCGUAGGUCGUAUGCGGUAUUAGCGUAAGUUUCCCUACGUUAUCCCCCACGACAGAGUAGAUUCCGAUGUAUUCCUCACCCGUCCGCCACUCGCCACCCAGAGAGCAAGCUCUCCUGUGCUGCCGUUCGACUUGC
rnacentral:rRNA from 1 species